rnacentral:rRNA from 1 species
AUUGAACGCUGGCGGCAGGCCUAACACAUGCAAGUCGAGCGAGCGGCGGACGGGUGAGUGAUGUAUGGGGACUGCCCGAUAGACGGGGAUAACUACUGUAAACGGUGGCUAAUACUGCAUAAUAUCGGAUAACCCAUAUGGGAUUAGCUAGUAGGUGGGGUAAAGGCUCACCUAGGCGACGACCUCGAGCUGGUCUGAGAGGAUGAGCAGCCACACUGGGACUGAGAAACGGCACAGACUACUACGGAGGCAGCAGUGGGGAAUAUUGAACAAUGGGCGAAAGCCUGAUGCAGCGACGCCGCGUGGGGGAUGAAGGCUUUCGGGUUGUAAACCUCUUUCGCUAUCGAACGGGUAGGUGGAGAAGAAGCGCCGGCUAACUACGUGCCAGCAGCCGCGGUAAUAC